CAGCCCCUCGAGUGGUGGGGAUGAUUAUUUGGCCUAAAGCGUCCGUAGCCGGCCGUGUAAGUCGCCCGUUAAAUCCAGCGUCUCAAGCGUUGGACUGCGGGAGAUACUGUACGGCUAGAGAGUGGGAGAGGUCAGCGGUAUUCUGGGGGUAGGGGCGAAAUCCUUUGAUCCCCGGAGGACCACCAGUGGCGAAGGCUGCUGACUAGAACACGUCUGACGGUCAGGGACGAAAGCUGGGGUAGCGAACCGGAUUAGAGACCCCCGUAGUCC
rnacentral:rRNA from 1 species